rnacentral:lncRNA from 1 species
ACCACUUCAGAUUUCUUUAUUAUUUUAAAGCAAAUCCCAGACGUCAUAGAAUCUCUUCUGUAAAUAUUUAACUACUCAUCACUAAGGGUGCAGGACUCUUUUAAAAAACCUAACAAUAUCAUUCUACCACCUAAAAUGUUUUAAAAAGAAUUCAUUAACAUCAUCAAAGAACCAGAGUUCACAUUUUCCUUGUGCAGUUGUUUUGUUUGUAUUAGGAUCCAAAUAAGAUCUAUUCAGUGCUAUUGGCUAAUAUGGCUCUUAAUUCAAACUUACCCCAUCGUGAUAGUUAAUAUUAAAUACCAACUUGACUGAGCCACAGGUUCCCAGAUACUGGGACAAAUAAUAUUCUGGGUAUUUCUGUGAGAGUUUAACCUUUAAAUCAAUCAACUGAGUAAACCAGACUGCCCUCCCUUGUGGAGGUGGACCUCAUUCAAUCAGUUGAAGGUCUGAACAGAACAAAAGGUUGAUUUUCUCUUAAAUAAGAGAGAAUUCCUCCUGCCUACCUUCAAGCUGGAACAUCUUUUCCCCCCCUGCCUUUGGAUUCAGACUGAAGCAUCAGCUUUUCCUGGGUCUAGAGCCUGCUGGCCUUUGGACUAGAACCACGCUAUCAGCUCUCCUGGGUCCCCAGCUUGCUGACUGCCAAUCUUAGGACUUGUCAACCACCAUAGUCUUUAAGGGAGAAGGGAAAUGCUCACCAGCCAGCAGACAGACGACCACCACACCCUGGUUCCUUAACACGCCAAGGUUCUGUGGUUUCUUUUACACUCAAGAGGACAACCUGAGAGCCUCUGGUCAGCAGGGGAGUCACAGCCUCUGGACUCGCAGGGCAAAGAAGUCUUCUGAAGCACAAACAGUUCAACCUCUCUGCAUUGAGAGAAGUCAAGCCUUAAUCAUUGUCGCUCGCACUCCUGAAUCCUAAUUCUAGAUUGAAACGUCUCCCCAGGCAACACCAACACACCUUUAAUUUUUGUGUUCUACGUCAAAGACCUCCUUUACUGAACUUUAUCUUCAUCCUAGCUGAUUUUUCUGGUUUAUCAAAUUUAUCUUUAGUCAAUGAACUGAAAAGUUUCAUCUGCAUGAUAAACCUCCCCAAUGGUUUAAUACCCCAGAGUUUACAAAAUCGUUCCAGUGGAUUGUUCCUCAAAGCUGUGAGGCAGCCUGCAAAGUUCUUUGUGGCUUCAUCUUACAGAAGAACCAGCAACAACCACAGAGACGCU